rnacentral:rRNA from 1 species
GACGAACGCUGGCGGCGUGCUUAACACAUGCAAGUCGAACGGAAAGGCCCCUUUGUGGUUACUCGAGUGACUAACGGGUGAGUAACACACACGUAACCUACCCUUGACUUCGUUAUAACUUCAUUAAACUGGGUCUAAUACAGAAUAGGAAUCCUUUCUUCAUGGAGGGGGGUGGUAAGCUUCUGGGGUUUUGGGUGGACUCCCGGGUUAUUAACUUGUUGGUGGGGUAGUGGCUUACCAAGGGUUUGACGGGUAGCCAGCCGGAGGGGGCGAACGGCCAAAUUGGGACUGAGGUAAGGCCCAGAAUCCUAAGGGGGGCAAAAGUUGGGAAUAUUGCCAAAAGGGCGGAAGCCUGAUUCAGGAAAGCCGCGUGGGGGAUGAACGGCUUCGGGAUGGAAAACGCUUUCAGCAGGGGACAAGGUUGUGGUGACGGUAACUGGAGAAGAAGCACCGGCUAACUACGUG